GUGCUACCUAGCUGCCCAUUGAUUCAGCCUACUGAUAAACUGGCCUUCUAGAAGUUCGGUGGACUAAACAUGCCAUCUCCAAUCUCUGUCUGUUUGCACAAUUUGUUUUCCAUGCCUGAAAGGUAUUCCUAACCUUGUCUGUCUUUAAGGAUCAGCUCAGAAGCCACCUCCUUGACAAGGCCAAUCUACUCUGGUCCUGAGGCUUUUAAAGGAUCAAAAUCUAGAAGGAUAAGUUUCCCAGUGUUUUACUUCUUGUCCUGGAAUCAAUUCAUAUUCUAGGAUGCAGGUCCACCCUACAGCCAGGGAUGUACUAGUCCAUUGAACAGGGUUUUACAAAGUGAGCGCCGCCACGUGCCAACACAGCCGAUGCCUGCUAUGCAAUGAGUGGCAACAACUGGAGAGCUUCUUCCCUUCUCUCACUAUUCGGCUGCCCUCCGAGUUACAUGAGUGUCUGGCGCACUCUCCAAGGUGAGACACUCAGUUUAGUAUUUCUUUGUAUGUGAGCAGUUGCUGUGG